AUGUCAAACUUGUUCGGUUCCCAGGAAUUAUCAUUGAUGUCCAAUUCUAAGCGUAUGAAGUUCGACAAACGCUCCUUCAAGAGCCUCCACAACAACCAUAUGGGGUGGGCUGAAUCUCCUUCCGGAAAUAGAGAGCAACUAAUUGGGAAAUGCUUCUUCGAGAGCCUCCCCAACGACCACAUGGGCCGGGCUGAAUCCCCUUUCGGAAACAGAGAGCAACUAGUUGAGAAGCGCUUCUUCGAGAGCCACCCCAACGACCACCUGGGCUGGGCUGAAUCCCCUCCCGGGAACAGAGAGCAACUAGUUGAGGAGCGCUUCUUCGAGAGCCUCCCCAACGAGCGCGCUUCCUCCCCAACAAUCACAUGGGUGGGCUGA
rnacentral:rRNA from 1 species